UCCGUGGUAGUCCAGUGGUUAGGACACGGCACUCUCACUGCCAGGGGCCCAGGUUCGAUCCCUGGUCAGGGAA